rnacentral:rRNA from 1 species
UACGUAGGUGACAAGCGUUGUCCGGAUUUACUGGGCGUAAAGAGCGCGCAGGCGGUCGUUCAAGUCGAGUGUGAAAGCCCCCGGCUCAACUGGGGAGGGUCAUUCGAUACUGUCCGACUCGAAGGCAGGAGAGGGAAGCGGAAUUCCCGGUGUAGUGGUGAAAUGCGUAGAUAUCGGGAGGAACACCAGUGGCGAAGGCGGCUUUCUGGCCUGUUCUUGACGCUGAGGCGCGAAAGCUAGGGGAGCGAACGGG